UUUUUUUUUUUUUUUUUUUUUUUUCUCAGAAUCACCAAUUAAUUGAAACAACGUGUCAACAAAGACACAGCGCGCCCACACAACAGCAAAGUGAUUGCUUCAAAGAAUAGAA
rnacentral:ribozyme from 14 species